rnacentral:rRNA from 1 species
GACGAACGCUGGCGGCGUGCUUAACACAUGCAAGUCGAGCGAGUGGAUUCCCUUCGGGGAUGAAGCUAGCGGCGGACGGGUGAGUAACACGUGGGCAACCUGCCUUAUAGAGGGGGAUAGCCUUCCGAAAGGAAGAUUAAUACCGCAUAACAUCAGAUUAUCGCAUGGUAGACUGAUCAAAGGAGCAAUCCGCUAUAAGAUGGGCCCGCGUCGCAUUAGCUAGUUGGUGAGGUAACGGCUCACCAAGGCGACGAUGCGUAGCCGACCUGAGAGGGUGAUCGGCCACAUUGGGACUGAGACACGGCCCAGACUCCUACGGGAGGCAGCAGUGGGGAAUAUUGCACAAUGGGGGAAACCCUGAUGCAGCAACGCCACGUGAGUGAUGAAGGCCUUCGGGUUGUAAAGCUCUUUGAUCAGGGACGAUAAUGACGGUACCUGAAGAACAAGCCACGGCUAACUACGUGCCAGCCGCCGCGGUAAUAC